CCUACGGGUGGCAGCAGUGAGGAAUAUUGGUCAAUGGGCGCAAGACUGAACCAGCCAAGUAGCGUGCAGGAUGACGGCCCUACGGGUUGUAAACUUCUUUUAUACGGGAAUAAAAUGCGGCACGUGUGCCGUUUUGUAUGUACCUUAUGAAUAAGGACCGGCUAAUUCCGUGCCAGCAGCCGCGGUAAUACGGAGGGUCCGGGCGUUAUCCGGAUUUAUUGGGUUUAAAGGGAGCGUAGAUGGGUUGUUAAGCGUGCUGUGAAAGUUCGCGGCUCAACCGUAGCACUGCAGUGGAUACUGGCAGGCUUGAGUGCAGGUGAGGUAGGCGGAAUUCGUGGUGUAGCGGUGAAAUGCUUAGAUAUCACGAAGAACUCCGAUUGCGAAGGCAGCCUACUAAAGGGCUACUGACGCUGAUGCUCGAAAGCGCGGGUAUCAAACAGGAUUAGAUACCCUAGUAGUC
rnacentral:rRNA from 1 species